UCCUCCCUCCCUGAAAUAUACCAGUAGAAUGUAAUCUUCAAGCAGGCAAGGAUAUUUACCUGCUGGCUUUGCUGCUGUAUCCCCUAGACAGUGCCUGGCACACGCUUGUCAUGAUGGGCCUCCAUGGCUUUCUCUACUGAUCCUUCUGAAUAUCAGAAUAAGGAUGAUCCAGGACUGGAAGACAUCCAUGGAUGGCUGCAAGGUGCUGGAAAGAGUGGAAACACGCUACUUGAGGAGCACGCUAGGGUCUAGGAACAUGCUGGGGCAUUAUGAUGCAAGGAAGCAGGAACCAAUGCACACCCACUCGGCUUUGUUGUGAGAGCCUCCUGGAUUAGAUUUCCCUGUACGUUUUAAGGGUGAAUGGACACUGGCUCCCACACUGCUUUCUGGGAGGGAUCUGUUCUGACCCAGAAAAGGAUCUCGUAUGGCCCAGAACAAGGCAAAAUUGGUGGCUUUUUACUCAUCUUCUGGGUGUUCAGCUCCUCUCUGUCAGGGCUAGAGACUGCGGGACAGCGUGUAACAGCUGGGUAGAGUCUGGUAAGGGCAUUUUAUAUAAGCCUUGCUGGAUGUAUCAAGGGCCCCAUUCAUAUUUCUCCUCUUUUACUCAAUAACUUUAAUUCUUCAUCUUUAUCCUGAAAAUAGCACAAGAGGGAGUGAAGAUUUUCUCCUAAAGAUGCAGAGCCAGGCUCUCUCACAAUGGUCAAUGGGAAACAGUCCAGAGAUGCAUAGUCUGAACAAAAUUCAAUUAAUUAUGGUUUUUCCACAUAUAGCAUUUAUCUUGUUCCAUGGUGAGUUUGAAAUAAUGUUGUAAAUAUUUAUGCUACAAUAGUGAAUAAAAAAGUAAGGCAGAGAAAUUGUAAAAAUACUGUCAAUUAUGUAAAGGGUCCUAAGUACAAAGAUUAGAGGAAAAUAUGCUUUUAUUUGACUAUAACGGAAGGGUAGGAUUGUAGGGCACGUUUAUUCAUGUUUCCCUAGACUUUCCUUCAACUUUUAAAUGUUCUACAAUGAUGAUGUAUUACUUUUACCAUCAGAAAAAUGAAAUAAAAGAAAAUAUAAUAAAGUAAAACAAAACCUGA